GUUCGGUCACCUUGUGGGGAUUUAUAGGUUACGAGUUCUGCUUUUGUUUGGAGACCUGUCUGGCAGGGCUUGGCACUACUUUCCUCUUUGUGUAUGUGGGGCCUGGUUGCCUAGCUACCCCUGAGAGGACUAGUGAGGACUGGCGGGGAAAGGGGAAGCCAGGGAGAAGCUGGUGUCAGACCUGUCCGGAUGCAGGAAGAAGCAUCUCAAGACCCCCGUGGAUGCCUGAAAUCACAG
rnacentral:lncRNA from 1 species